UGGCCUUGGGCAUUGGGCGGCAGUUCACUGAUCCACCGGAGAUGCCUCCGGUGCCCUCACCCAUCUGGCUUCUGACAGUCUACAGCCAUGAUGUGCUAUCGCGGCUGGACGAGGUGGAGGCCAGGGUCAACUCAGUCUUUGGGUCCAUCUUAAAGAUGUACUCUACCAAGAAGGUGACUAAAAAGCUGACGGGGUACCGCUGCAGACACAGCCGCCUGGGUUACCAACGUCGGUAACGAGCAUGGGCAGGUCCUCGUCAGUGUCCUCACUGCUGAGGGCGAGGUCUCAUGGAACCGGUACCGGAUCGCCGGGGUGGCGCUCAUGUACGUGGACUCCACAGCUUUGGCGGACAGCUGCCAUGUACAAUGACUGGGACCAGCUGGUGGUUCGGCUGGACGCGGUGCGCGUCAGGUGUCACCACUGAGAGCCACCAGCUCUACGGUCCCUUCAUGAGGCAGCUGUCAGCCUGCAUCUUUGAGUGGGAUGCAGGCUAUGUCUGCCGACUGCUGGCGGCCAAAGAGGUCUGAGCUGGAGGGGAAGCACGGGAUGGUCGGCCUCACUGAGGUUUCGAGGAAGAUCAGCAGGAAGGAGAUUGCGCUUCACUGUCGUCGUACGCGUGGAGCUGAGCUGCGGCGACCAAAGUCCUUCUCCUUGACCUCCUCGACACCUUCAACAGCGAGAAGGGGGUCGAUACCCUGGGCAUCCCGUUGCUUGGACUCCAUCCGCAUCCAGGCGAUCUGGAAAGAGCAGAGGCGCCACCUCCAGGGCGAAUGCAAUGCAUUUCUAGGCAUUCCUGUUGGAUGGACUGAUGAGGUGGAACGAGGACCGUGCGCAGGCAGCAGUGGAGGGGAAGAACAGGAAGCCCCUGCUCUCCUACAGUGGCCACCUGCAGCACAUCCUUAACCUUAGCAGCGAAAGGGUGCUUGGCAAGGAACAGGUUAAGGACUAUACCAAGCCUAGCGAGUACACAGGGGAAAUCCUCGGAGUGGAGUACCUGUACUGGCAGGUGCUGCAAGGAUGUCAUUGGGGACCCUGACCUUCCAGAAGAGGCAGCCGCCGUCGAGUAGCUCGACGAGGAGGACGAGGGCUUUCAGGAGGAGGAUGUAGACCAGACAGUCCACAUCCCUCAUGUCCCUCGUAUGAGCGCCCCGUCCUCCAGCUCGGCGGCACCUCUGCCAGGUCUGGGCCAUCCAGUCCCACCGCCCCUGAAGACAGAAGCUCUCCUGAGGCCCCUGGUCGACACAGUUCUCCUCACCCUGACCACUCACUCACCCUGACCAUUCAGUGAUGCCUUCUCGGACUCACCAAACGGCCCUGCAGGCCAUUUGCAGUCAGCUCUGUCAAAUCCAUCCCAGCGCCAUUCAGUCUGCCAGCGCCAAGAAGCGCCAAGACGAGCAGGUGGGCGCUCAUUCUGGCAGACUACGUGGGCAUCAGGGAGGCAGUGCUGAACAGCCCGAGGUUGAUGGCCCAGACCAACCUUCAGCCCUUUGAGCUGAAUCAAAGGCCAGUGGUAAGACUUAUGGACGGCUUGUAGACAAGGUCUAAAUCAUGUUUGAUGCACUCUGGAUACAAUGUUUUUAAGCAUAACUGUUCAAACCAGAUUAUAGGGACAAGUUUCAGCAAACUGCAGCAAUUAAACUACAGAAAUAACCACUUUUCUAAAAACAAGUUCUAUAAAAUCAUGUUUGAUGCACUCUGGAUACAAUGUUAAGCAUCUGUUCAAACUAGAUUAUAAGGGACAAGUUUCAGGAAACUGCAGCAAUUAAACUACAGAAAUAACCACUUUUCCAUAAAAAACAAGGUCUAAAUCA